AAAAGAGAAUUGGAAGUAUGACUGGUAUUAUAUCACUGUAAGUAUUCUAUAAAUUCAAACUCUUCUGUCUCUAUUCAUCCAGUUUGAAGAAAUCCUCACAAAGUUAUUCACUGCUUAUUGUGGGCGUGGACUGUUUGAACCAUCCAAUCACAACGCUUGUGUAUUGACUCUCCAGCCAUGACAACAAACUUUCGCCAUUGCUUGGAGUUGGACGAAGUGCGACAGAGCGUCGUAGUAAAUGUUUAAGGCAAAUGUUUCUGCGAGGAUGAACGGAUUCAGCACUGGCGAAGAAGAUUCAAGGGGCCCACCGGACCAAGUGUGCUGUCUAGUGGAUGAUGGAGAGAGAUGUAUGCGACCAGCUGGUAAUGCGUCAUACAGCAAACGAAUACAAAAGAUCGUCACUCAAAGAAGAUUAAAACUGCACAUAGACCGUGUGGCGAGGCACAUAUACAUAUGUGAUUAUCAUAAGACUGUCAUACAGUGUGCACGAACAAAACAAAGACGAAGGAAGGAUUCAGAAGAUGACUCAAAUGAAACUGAUACAGAUGUUCCUGAAGUGGACUUGUUUCAGCUGCAGGUGAAUACGUUACGAAGGUACAAACGCCAUUACAAAGUGGCAACGAGACCAGGCAUAAACAAAGCUCAAUUAGCUGAUACACUGAUGAAGCACUUUAAAUCCAUACCUGUUAAAGAGAAGGAGAUAUUGACUUUCUUCAUUUACAUGGUGAAAACCAACAGCAAUAAGCUUGAUCAGAAAAACGGAAUAAAUGUUGAUGCAACGUAGAUGAUUUUACUAUGAAAUAUUCUUGUAUGUGCUGUUCGUGGGUCUUCUGAAUCGUGUACAUAGAUGAAUACUGAUGAAAUUUUGCAGUGGUCUCAACUGCAACUUGCGAAUUGCAUUCUGAAAAUGAAGAAAGGGAAGUGUAGGACCUUUGCAUUUUUUGGUUACUGUUUUGUAAAUGUUUGUUACUUAGUAAAUGAAAUCAAGUGACAAACGGCUAUAACAGUAUAUUUACAUGCAACAAAAGUGUUGCCAGUACCUUCUUUAUAGGUGGCUUGUUAAUCCAACAGUUAUUCUAUAGAUGUGAUGGCAUUGGUAUAGCUGCACUUGAAUCCAAAUACAAUUGAUGAUGAAGAUAAAUUUGGUGCAGCAGCACAGUUUAUGAUUAAGAAGACACUAGAAAAGUUACACGUAAUGGCAACCAACAUUAUCAGCUGGAUAAUUUCAGAAAUUUGGCAUCUUCAUCAUGUAUACUAUGGUCCCUACAUCCCACCAACAGUCAGAUGGAUGAACAGCAGUGUUUGCCAAUCAUGAAGCACGUCAAAUGGCAGAGAAAUAGAGAUUGUGAAUGGAAAAAAGUGGAAGCUGCAACUGAAGAAAGAACAAUUGAUUCAAAGGAGAUGCUGAGUUUAGCAUAAACACCAUGGAGCUGUCAACACUUGAUUAUCAUUGUUUCAUUAUGCUUCUAAGGCAGUACUCUUGUGAAUGAUGAGUGUAUUUGAACAAAAAUAUAUUGCAACUAAUUUAUUAAAGUUGAAUUACCAGAGA
rnacentral:misc_RNA from 1 species